GAAAAUCUCAUCUUCCUUGAUCCGAAUUUUCUUUAGAUUUUAAAUAUUUGGCAAAGCCCUAGGGCAUUAGAGAGCCCGACCAAUAGAAGCUUUCGGGUCAAAGUUCUUCCUGUGAAUUUUCCAGACUUCUAUCAGAAAACUUUACAUUGAGAUUAUUGAAGAAUCUACACUUUCAUCAUCAUAGUCGUAAUAAUUAUAAAAUGAAGACUAAGACUUGGUGAUAAUUAUAUCUAGUUCUUUCAAAAGGAAAAGCUAAGGUGUUAGGCGAAGCUCUGCCCAAAUCGCAAGUCAUCCACUUUUAACAAGUACUUUCGCUCAUGAAUCUUCAAUUGUCUCGAGGCAUAAGCCACAAAUCUGUCUCUUAUGGCAAUCCCUUUUCGAGUCAAUAUUGUGAGUGGAGCAGCAAUAAAAGAAAAGUCUUCGAUGAAUCUUUGGUAGUAAACUAGUCAAUCCAAAAAAACGAUGAACUUCGAUGGGACUCUUUGACGUCUCCCAUUUCAUGAGAGCUUUGAUUUUUGCUGGGUCAACUAUAUACCUUUCUGGUUAACCACGUGACCAAAGAAUUAUAUUUCUCGAACUCAUGUGUAAAGCUUCUCCUUCUUCAGUUUGUUACUGUCCAUGUUAUUGUUCACCAGAAAGUUGUUCUUUACAUUUUGAGAUAUAUUUGUGGCUCUGUUUUAGAGUCUCUUGUUAUAUUCGACGUGUUGUUUAGAGUUGUGUGUUCAUUAUGAUAUUGAUUGGGAUGGUGAUCAUACUAAUCGGAAAUCCACUUUUGUUGUGUAUAUUUUCCUUGGAGAUUCACUUAUUUCAUGGAAAAGUAAGAAAUAGGAUGUUGUCUUUUGAUCUUC